rnacentral:rRNA from 1 species
UACGUAGGAGGCGAGCGUUGUCCGGAAUCACUGGGCGUAAAGCGCGUGUAGGCGGGAAGGCAAGUCUGCUGUGAAAGCGCCUGGCUUAACCGGGCGAGGUCGGCGGAAACUGCUUACCUGGAGGACGGAAGAGGCGAGUGGAAUUCCCGGUGUAGCGGUGAAAUGCGCAGGUAUCGGGAGGAACACCAAUGGCGAAGGCAGCUCGCUGGGACGGUACUGACGCUGAGACGCGAAAGCGUGGGGAGCAAACAGG